GUAAUUGAACUUAGUACGAGAGGAACCGUUCAUUCAGAUAUUUGGUAUUUGCGCCUGUCCGAUCGGGCAAUGGCGCGAAGCUAUCAUCUGCUGGAUUAUGGCUGAACGCCUCUAAGCCAGAAUCCGUGCUAGACACGAUGAUGUUGGUCCCGCACAUAAGACACGAGUUGAAAUAGAGCAUUUGCUCAUGAACCACAUCAGGUGGAUUAGAUGGUCAGAGUGGAUAUACUCUGGCUGUUCAUCCACGCAUUGCAAUCACUAUAUGGGCGGGGGUGAAUCCUUUGCAGACGACUUGAAUGGGAACGGGGUACUGUAAGUGGUAGAGUAGCCUUGUUGCUACGAUCCACUGAGGUUAAGCCCUUUGUUCUAAAGAUUUGUUUACCUUUCUUACUCUUCAGGGCAGGUCCCACCAGUCCAAAGGACACAAUGCUCACUACGUACCAAGAUCUUUGGCAAAAGAUCUUAUUUUGUGAGCGGGGUAAGGUCUGAGUAUGAUCAUCUCCCUUGUGAUGGACUCUAGCAGGGUCUGGUCCUAAGUGGCCAAGCGGCAUACUAGAAAGACAGCCCUUGGGGCUUUGAAAUAGGCCGUGGAGAUGGGAUGGCACACAUCCUUUAGUGCACUUUGUGACGCACAGCACUAGCUGUGAAACUGGAUUCAGACUACUCUUGGACUGGUGGUUCAUUCAUAAUCUUAAUGUAAGUCAGUUCCAUUUUGAAUGACUUUGGUCAAGAUGACCAUUCGUUCUCUUCCCCAUCUGACACGACGGUGCUGAGGGGAUAAGGGAUGGGAUCAAUAGAUCCCUUUUACAUUGUGCACUUGCCAGUGCCACUUUGCCUGAACUAUUAUAUUGAUAGUGUUUGUAAGCGGAAUACUGAUUGAUGCUUUUUGAACAGGGUGUGUAUCAGAUUUCGUGUUGAUUCUAAUAGAGGAUGAGGACGUCCAUUCAUUCGCAGUUUCCACUCUAGCACCCUGUGUUGAACCCAUUGAUAACACUGGGGUGCAAUGAGGGACUCUAAUGACCUUCCUUUGGAUGUCUGAUCUCCAUGCCAUCUUGGUUUGAAUAGAUGCUAACAACAUUUUAUUUGUAGGUCUAAUGAACAAAGAAGGUCUUUUUUGAUUGUGCCACGUAAAGAAUCGUGAUCACAGCUCACAUACAGGGAGAUGACUCCCAACUCUUAGCUGUGGGGAAAGUCCCCGGAGAGCGACUGUCUAAUAAAGCAGACAUUAAGUUACUCAUAGACAUAGUUAUACGAUUGUAGGCCUGCUAAGCAAGCCUUUAACACAAUGGGGCUCACUCUUAUUGUGGCACAUGGAAUGGGUUUAUAAG
rnacentral:sRNA from 1 species